CUCAAAGACUAGUGAUGGGGGAGUUUUUCAAAAUAUUUGAGAUUUUUCUCACCUAGAAAAUCCACUAAGAUGUUCAAUCUCUUCCAAGGCAAGUAAGACUUGAGAUAUUUAUUUCCCCUUUCAACUCGUUACAUUACUUUUGUUAAAGAAUCUUAAAGACUAUUAGAUAAAAAUGAGGAAGGCUCUGAAUGGUGACAGAUAAUGUGUGAGUAAUUUGGCAUGGUAAUAUGCAGAAAGAUUAUAUUAUUUUGGAAACGAGAGAAUGAAACUCUACUGAACUGCUGUGUGACAGUACAAGCAAAGAGCAGGCUAACAUCAGUAGCAAAACAGCAGAGGGUCACUCUUUCCUUGACCAAAAAUAUAAAUAUUUUGUGCUUUUAAUCAGCUUACAUAAUUAAGUAUUACCAGUCCUUGGAAAUCUGUGACAAAAAAAAAGGAGCUCUCACUCAGUUUUUGGAACUGAACAGUUUAGGAGAAAGAUAGAAAUACAUUAGCAACCCCCCAAUAGAUCAAAGUAUUGUCCCAACAAGUAAAUAAAUAAGUAAAUAAAUAAAUAAAUGCAAGCCUGGUUUAGUUCUGACUGUUUAGUUCUCCCUCAUAUUCAUUCUCUCCCGAUAGCCUCGUGGUCAGCCACAACUAAAACAGUUUGAAAUGGUUCACUCUCUUUGUCAUCAUUUGACCCUUGUUUCUGAACUCAGUCCCAGCGUUUUUCUUAUCACUCCAUGAGGCACCAUAAAUUAUAGUUCCAGGAACACUUUAUUGACCUGUUUGGAGAGACUGCUUAAGGGGAGUGAGUUUGGGGUUUUGGCACCAGCCACUUGCUAUGUUAUGACUCAGUAUACAGGAACUAUAAAAGACUGGUUCUCUCCCUACAGUUUUAAAAGGAACUCAAAGCUCAUGUUAGAGACCUUCCUGCUGCUGAAGAAUGGAGAGAUUUUCAAAAUGUAGGGAAAAAAAACAACAAAAAAAACAGCCUUUCAAAUAAAAGUUUGUUUCAAAUUUCUAGAAUAUGGGUUUUUCUUAUUGUUUGAAUAACUACUGCGAUCCAGUUGCCCUCGAACUAGAUACCACAUAAAUACAUUUUCAAAAGUUUUUUAAGAAUAGAAUUCAAGAAGAAAGUCAUCCCAAAGUAAAGCUACCAUCUUAUGUGUUCUUCCAGUCUCUAGUCUAUAUUCAUCAAAUAAUCCAUUUCUAGGAUAGCAACCCAGGACACCAGGAAAAUGAAUAUGAAUAGAAAUAAAGCAUAUGACUUAUAAUAAUAAAUCAUGUUAGCUACAUAUGCAUUUAACUGAUUUUAAAUUGUGAAAAUUCUUAAACAAUUUUUUGGGAAUUAGUCAUGUAGUGUAAGGAUUCUAAACAUGAUAAAUUCUACUCACAGUUCUGGUUAAAUUUUGUAUCAACUUUUAAAUCCCAGGUGAGGGAGAACAUUAAGUGGAGUGAAACCUACCCUGGUCCAUCCAGAAAUAAGCCAAUCAAAUAAAGGAAGACAGUCCAUAUGGCAUAGAAAAUGCCAUCUUUUUUUUUUCUUGUUUUUAGGGCUGCAUUCACGGCAUAUGGAGGUUCUCAGGCAAGGGGUCGAAUUGGAGCUACAGCUGCUGGCCUACACCACAGCACACAGCAACGCUGGAUCCUUAACCCACUGAGCAAGGCCAGGGAUCGAACCCACAACCUCACGGUUCCUAGUCAGAUUCGUUUCUGCUGCACCACAACGGGAACUCCCAUCCUUCAACUUUUAUUGACUGCUUUAAUAGUUCACAGGUGAAAAGUUUGUGUUAAAAUAUACUACUCUAGACAGAAAUAAAUGUUUGGUAAAUGUCUACAACUGUCAGCCAAUCACAGAGGGGAGACUAACAUUAGAACUGGGUUAUAACAGAUGGUUCACACAAUCACUGCCUCCUCUCCAUCCCAGGCAAACAGAAGAUGAAUAAAGUGAAAAUAAAUGUGCCUAGGAGUGUUUUUAUGAAUGAGGCUUGGAAGUGGAAGCUGUAUUUGUAUCAUUCCACUACCUAUAACUCAAUCACAUGGCUACACUUAACUGCAAGGAAGGCAGGUUGUGCACACAAAGUUGUAAUUUUUUUUUUUUUUUUUUAAAUAUGAAUCAGGAGUUCCCAUCGUGGCUCAGAGGAAAUGAAUCUGACUGGCAUCCACGAGGAUACAGGUUCCAUCACUGACCUCUCAGUGAGUUAAGGAUCUGGUAUUACCUUGAGCUGUGGUGUAGGUCGCAGACACAGCUUGGAUCUGAUGUUGUUGUGGCUGUGGUGUAGGCUG
rnacentral:lncRNA from 1 species